CCAGCCUCUACUGCCAUACCACCAACGUCCACAUCUGAUGUCAUGGGACAUUAUGAUAAAAUAGGAGGCAUUACUCCUGGAGUCUUCCUCAUAAAUGGUAUAUUCACAUACACCAGUGAAAGAAUCCUCAUGAGUGAAUUUUGUUAACCAGAUGCUCAAUGUAUGCCAAACAUUACUGCUGAUUCAGCAUAACACGUUUCAAUAUCAUAUGCUGCAUCAUCACUGGUUCAUCAAUAAGCUUUCCAUUAAACAACCAACCUACACUGUAACCUUUGUUUUUAAUGCAGUUUACAUUAUUGCUUAGCAACUGAAUGUUUUAGGAUUAAUUCCAGAUCUCCCAAACCACAUACAGGAUGACAAAGGUACUAGAAAGGAAUAUAGAUGUUUUGUGUCUGUACCCAGGUAUUAAGUGAGAUUCUCAAGGGUCUGUGCCUGUGAAUGGUGUUCACCACUGAUAGUUGUCCGUGUGUAGUUCACAUCUUAAAUUUCGAGUUAAGUGAGGUUCAAGACUUGGCCAUAUCACCAAGUUCUGUAUUCAGUAGUGAUUAGCAGCAGUAAUUAACUGAUGUUUUUGCCAAAAAAUAAUCUAUUCAGUCUCAUGUCACAAGCUGGUAUGUGUAAUAAAGAUUCUCAGGACUGCACUACUGACUUUCAUAGAAUCACUAACUGGCUGAGGUUUGCAGAGACCUAUGGAGGCCACCUGGUCCAACACUUGCUCAAGCAGGGACUCACAGAGCAGAGUGGCAAGGCCAGUGUCCAGGCAGCUUCUGAAGAUCUCCAAGGAGCAGGCUCCACAGACUGUGGGUAACCUGUGAUGGUGUUUCAUCACCCUCACAGCACAGAAGUGCUGCUCCUAUGUUCCAGUUUGUGCUCAUUUCCCUUGGUCCUGGCACUGAUGACCACUGAAAAGAGCCUGGCUUCAUCUUCUUUGUCAUCUCCUUUCAAGUGUUUAUACACAUUGAUGAGUUCCCAUCCUGAACUUUCUCCAGGCUGAACAGUCCCAGCUCUCAGCCUCUCCUCAUACAAGCGAUGCCCCAGUCCCUUGAUCAUCUUCAUGACCCUUUGAUGGAUUCUCUCCAGUGUGUCCACGUCUCUGUUGUACUGGAAGCCUAAGACUGGAUAUAAUAUCCAGGUGUGCCUGGUUCAUGCUUAGAGAACUACUGUAUCUUCUGAGAACAAGGUCUGAGAUCAUUAGGGUGUUCCUGGGAACUCCCAAAGAAACUUUAGGAUGCUGUCACUGUCAGAUAUGGACAAGAACUAGAGAGACACAAGGCUGUACACCUGCGGAAGCUCCAGCAGCUUCUGAUGAUGUUGGUUCUGCCCUUGACCCCAUUGCCUAGCACCUUUGCUACAGCUGGGGAUGACCAAGCACCCUUUAAACUGGUGCAAGGGAGAUAUAGGAGUGCAUCACUUGGGGCAGUAGUCUGCUAUGCGCUUAGGGAAUACUUCUGCCUGGAUAAAAGCAACACUACCUUUGGAAAGAGAAGAUGAUGCAUCGUGUUGUGUUUUCCUGAGAUUUUUAUUUGCAGAUGAGGCCUUUUUUCUGGUGUCUUUAGUUUCUGGAAGAGGAUAGCGACAGUGAAAAGUGCCUUCAGUGAAGGGCUUUAGAUAAAGUUAAAGCAGGAAUAGCAAGCAGAUUCAUAGAGAAGAAGUGACAAAUGAUCCCCAGAUAUCUUUACAGAAAUGGAAAUAACUUGCCCACCACCACACUUGGCCAAGGGUAUAAACACAGCUCAGCUGCUACCAUAGUAGGUGACAUAAAUUACAUGAUAUUUACCCAUGAAGUCUGUUUGCCAUCACCCAGGUUUUCUAGCUGCAGGCACUGAGUAAUUUAACUGCAAAUUCUGCUGCUUGAGUAGCACUCAGAAGUAUCAGGUAAGGCUCAUGUCUACGUUUGUCAUAUGAGCAAUGACAGUCACAAUGACUUAUUCUGAAACACUUCAUCUGCAGUAGUCAGCUGCUGUCUACUACAACAAUACUUUACUAGACUCAGCUAUGAGAAGGCAGCUAUCAAAUACAGAACCUCGUAAUUCCCCCGCCCUCCACUCUCACAACGAGCUGUUCAAAAUAACUACCAUUAUCUGUGCUGACAUUAGUGCAUUUAUCUACACAUUGAGUUGUUUGAAGAAUGAUUGCCUCAAUAUGAAUGGAAGGGCUGUUGUGCUCUCUUUAAUGGUGUUUUCAAAAAAGUUCUGCACAUACUUACAUAUUCUGAUUUCUUUUUCUCCUUAAGACAGCCAAUGAAUAGCUGUGAAUAACUUUUUUGGCCGUUCACUGUUUUGAAGAUUUCAACCAUACCACAUUUCUGAAAGUUUAUAUACUGUAUAACAGACAUGCUUCAAAAAUUAUUGAUACUAUACCUUACCAUAAAACAUAUUCGUAAUGUACAUGUUAAUUCCUGUGGUGUCUGAGGAUAUAAUAAGGCCUUCUAUGUAUACACUCUCUCAUUAUUAAUCUCAUUAAUAAUCCUCUCAUUAUUAAACCACGUGCAUCUUCUGUUUACCAGAGUCCCAUUGUAUAAGAAUCCAGUAAGUUAAUUCUAUUGGUGAAAAAGGAUGGGCGAACACCAGCAGGUCAUCUCUUCAGGAAACUUAAUGGGCAUUCCAGCAUUUCCAGAUGUGUCUGAGAUGGGCUCAUCACAUAAAGAAGAUGUGGAAGCAUGGUGGAUAAAUACAGCGGUAUGAGGAAGCUUCCUAUUUUAACCCUGACAACAGCUUUUUCAGUUGCUGGCUGCUAAGGUUGACUUUGGAGAAAACUAUCCUUGAUGGAUAAGAUCUUGCCCCCAGACUGUUAUCAUGGGUAUUUCCCAUGAUAUCAAGGUGAUAUUUCCCACCACUAAUUCCAAAUUUAAUUCCAUCUGCUGUCUUUUCACCAUGUCACUUACUGUCAUGAUACACUUGUGUAGCUUCAUCUAAUGUGUUUUGGUUUGGAGAUUCCUGAACAAAUCCAAUAAUGGCCAUCGUUGUUGCCACAGUGUUCAUCCUCUCUUCCUAAUGUUGUAUGAACAUGCUCAAUAGUAUGGUCCAUAAGACAGCCUGAUGAUAGCUUCACCUCUACUACUGUGGAACCUGACCACUUUUUUCCUUUAACAGCUUAAUGGAUUGUGACAUAUCUGGGGCUGUUUUGGACAAAUUAAAUACCUAGUUGUUUUCAGUAAGCUAGUCAUCCCAUCCAUUUGGUUAGCUGUAUAAUAAUGCUUUGUGGGCUGUUCAAAGUUGUUAAAGAAAUGGUAUUUUGCUUAUAAAAUCGUUCAUCUCU
rnacentral:lncRNA from 1 species